rnacentral:rRNA from 1 species
AUUGAACGCUGGCGGCAGGCCUAACACAUGCAAGUCGAGCGGAUGAAGGGAGCUUGCUCCUGGAUUCAGCGGCGGACGGGUGAGUAAUGCCUAGGAAUCUGCCUGGUAGUGGGGGAUAACGUCCGGAGACGGGCGCUAAUACCGCAUACGUCCUGAGGGAGAAAGUGGGGGAUCUUCGGACCUCACGCUAUCAGAUGAGCCUAGGUCGGAUUAGCUAGUUGGUGGGGUAAAGGCCUACCAAGGCGACGAUCCGUAACUGGUCUGAGAGGAUGAUCAGUCUCACUGGAACUGAGACACGGUCCAGACUCCUACGGGAGGCAGCAGUGGGGAAUAUUGGACAAUGGGCGAAAGCCUGAUCCAGCCAUGCCGCGUGUGUGAAGAAGGUCUUCGGAUUGUAAAGCACUUUAAGUUGGGAGGAAGGGCAGUAAGUUAAUACCUUGCUGUUUUGACGUUACCAACAGAAUAAGCACCGGCUAACUUCGUG